UGGCUAAUGCCGGAUACGCAUGGAACCGCAUGGUUCCGUUGUGAAAGGCGCUGUAAGGCGCCACUAAAAGAUGAGGGUGCGGAACAUUAGUUAGUUGGUGAGGUAAUGGCCCACCAAGACUAUGAUGUUUAGCCGGGUCGAGAGACUGAACGGCCACAUUGGGACUGAGAUACGGCCCAAAACUCCUACGGGAGGCAGCAGNG
rnacentral:rRNA from 1 species